AACUUUUAUGUAUUAUAAUAAAAAAUAAACUUUCAACAACGGAUCUCUUGGCUCUCGCAUCGAUGAAGAACGCAGCGAAAUGCGAUAAGUAGUGUGAAUUGCAGAACUUUGUGAACCAUCGAAUCUUUGAACGCAAAUUGCGCCUUCUUUCGGAAGGCAUGUCUGUUUGAGGGCACCAUU
rnacentral:rRNA from 1 species